AUGGUCCGCUGGGAGGAGCCUAGAGAGGCUCGGGGAAACAGAUUAAAACCAACCUUUGAGUCGUGGCCUCGGUUUGUCCGUACUGUGGCAAAACUUUAUCAUCGAAGAAGCCUGGAUCGAGCUUUGGAGCUCCCUUUUUGUCGAACUCUACUGGGGCUGGAUGCUGAAUACACCUGCGGCUCGAAGGUGUCACCACUUCGUCCACGAUAUCGUCCACAAUCACAGAGACAUGGUCCGUGAUCGGAGAGACAUUGUUGAGGAUGAGGGAGACAUCGUCCACGAUCAGAGACGUUGUCCACGAUCGCAGAGACCUUGUCAAAGAUGAGAGAGACGUUGUCCAUGAUCAGAGACAUUGUCCCAUGCUUCGUAGAGACCUUGCGAUAGAAUCGGCGGAGACGGGGGUCACCGAUUUGACGGCACUGCCCGCGAUCAUGGAGACAUUGUUGAUGGUCACAGAGACAGCGUCUAUGAUCUCAGAGACAUCGUCCACGAUCACAAAGACAUUGUCCAUGAUCACAGAGACUUUGUCCAUAAUCUCAGAGACAUUGUCCGCGAUCACAGAGACGUAGUCCACGAUCGCAGAGAGCCGCCGUACAGUGAGGAAGUUCUUUGAGACCAGGACUGAGGCCUCCAGGUGUCACCACUUCGUCCACGACAUCGUCCACAAUCGCAGAGACAUGGUCCGUGAUCGGAGAGACAUUGUUGAGGAUGAGGGAGACAUCGUCCACGAUCAGAGACGUUGUCCAUGUUCGCAGAGACCUUGUCAAAGAUGAGAGAGACGUUGUCCAUGAUCAGAGACAUUGUCCCAUGCUUCGUAGAGACCUUGCGAUAGAAUCGGCGGAGACGGGGGUCACCGAUUUGACGGCACUGCCCGCGAUCAUGGAGACAUUGUUGAUGGUCACAGAGACAGCGUCUAUGAUCUCAGAGACAUCGUCCACGAUCACAAAGACAUUGUCCAUGAUCACAGAGACUUUGUCCAUAAUCUCAGAGACAUUGUCCGCGAUCACAGAGACGUAGUCCACGAUCGCAGAGAGCCGCCGUACAGUGAGGAAGUUCUUUGAGACCAGGACUGAGGCCUCCAGGUGUCACCACUUCGUCCACGACAUCGUCCACAAUCGCAGAGACAUGGUCCGUGAUCGGAGAGACAUUGUUGAGGAUGAGGGAGACAUCGUCCACGAUCAGAGACGUUGUCCAUGUUCGCAGAGACCUUGUCAAAGAUGAGAGAGACGUUGUCCAUGAUCAGAGACAUUGUCCCAUGCUUCGUAGAGACCUUGCGAUAGAAUCGGCGGAGACGGGGGUCACCGAUUUGACGGCACUGCCCGCGAUCAUGGAGACAUUGUUGAUGGUCACAGAGACAGCGUCUAUGAUCUCAGAGACAUCGUCCACGAUCACAAAGACAUUGUCCAUGAUCACAGAGACUUUGUCCAUAAUCUCAGAGACAUUGUCCGCGAUCACAGAGACGUAGUCCACGAUCACAGAGAGUCUUUGUACAAUAAAGAAGUUCUUUGAGACCAGGACUGAGGCCUCCAGGUGUCACCACUUCGUCCACGACAUCGUCCACAAUCGCAGAGACAUGGUCCGUGAUCGGAGAGACAUUGUUGAGGAUGAGGGAGACAUCGUCCACGAUCAGAGACGUUGUCCACGAUCGCAGAGACCUUGUCAAAGAUGAGAGAGACGUUGUCCAUGAUCAGAGACAUUGUCCCAUGCUUCGUAGAGACCUUGCGAUAGAAUCGGCGGAGACGGGGGUCACCGAUUUGACGGCACUGCCCGCGAUCAUGGAGACAUUGUUGAUGGUCACAGAGACAGCGUCUAUGAUCUCAGAGACAUCGUCCACGAUCACAAAGACAUUGUCCAUGAUCACAGAGACUUUGUCCAUAAUCUCAGAGACAUUGUCCGCGAUCACAGAGACGUAGUCCACGAUCGCAGAGAGCCGCCGUACAGUGAGGAAGUUCUUUGAGACCAGGACUGAGGCCUCCAGGUGUCACCACUUCGUCCACGACAUCGUCCACAAUCGCAGAGACAUGGUCCGUGAUCGGAGAGACAUUGUUGAGGAUGAGGGAGACAUCGUCCACGAUCAGAGACGUUGUCCACGAUCGCAGAGACCUUGUCAAAGAUGAGAGAGACGUUGUCCAUGAUCAGAGACAUUGUCCCAUGCUUCGUAGAGACCUUGCGAUAGAAUCGGCGGAGACGGGGGUCACCGAUUUGACGGCACUGCCCGCGAUCAUGGAGACAUUGUUGAUGGUCACAGAGACAGCGUCUAUGAUCUCAGAGACAUCGUCCACGAUCACAAAGACAUUGUCCAUGAUCACAGAGACUUUGUCCAUAAUCUCAGAGACAUUGUCCGCGAUCACAGAGACGUAGUCCACGAUCGCAGAGAGCCGCCGUACAGUGAGGAAGUUCUUUGAGACCAGGACUGAGGCCUCCAGGUGUCACCACUUCGUCCACGACAUCGUCCACAAUCGCAGAGACAUGGUCCGUGAUCGGAGAGACAUUGUUGAGGAUGAGGGAGACAUCGUCCACGAUCAGAGACGUUGUCCACGAUCGCAGAGACCUUGUCAAAGAUGAGAGAGACGUUGUCCAUGAUCAGAGACAUUGUCCCAUGCUUCGUAGAGACCUUGCGAUAGAAUCGGCGGAGACGGGGGUCACCGAUUUGACGGCACUGCCCGCGAUCAUGGAGACAUUGUUGAUGGUCACAGAGACAGCAUCUAUGAUCUCAGAGACAUCGUCCACGAUCACAAAGACAUUGUCCAUGAUCACAGAAACUUUGUCCAUAAUCUCAGAGACAUUGUCCGCGAUCACAGAGACGUAGUCCACGAUCACAGAGAGUCUUUGUACAAUAAAGAAGUUCUUUGACAUCAGGACUGAGGUGUCCAGGUGUCACCACUUCGUCCAUGUCAUCGUCCACGAUCGCAGAGACAUGGUCCAUGAUCGGAGAGACAUUGUUGAGGAUGAGGGAGACAUUCUCCACGAUCAGAGACAUUGUCCAUGAUCGCAGAGACCUUGUCAAAGAUGAGAGAGACGUUUUCCAUGAUCAGAGACAUUGUCCCAUGCUUCGAAGAGCUCUGCGCAAGAAUCGGUAGAGACACUGUGGUUCCUCGAUUCGACGGCAUGAUCAUGGAGACAUUGUUGAUGGUCACAGAGACUUUGUCCAUAAUCUCAGAGACAUUGUCCGUGAUCACAGGGAUGCAGUCCAUGAUUGCAGAGAGCCACCGUACAAUGAGGAAGCUCUUUGAGACCAGGACAGAGGCCUCCAGGAGAAGACUGCAUCACUUGAAGAGGACAACAAAAGUGGUUAAAUGUUCUUAAAGAUGUUUAGAGAUGUAUAAGAUUUUAACAUGUCCUCAUAUGCGCACCUUUGUAUUAAAGUGUGUCCAAAUGGUCAAACAUCUGUCAUUAUUCUUGCUGUGUGUGUUUGUUAAAUGUUGUCUAUAAGAGAAUCAAUAAAGUCUUGUUGCUUAA